GUUAUAGUAGUUUAAUUUUAGAAUUUUGCUUUGAUAGGGCAUAGGUUAUUAUAAUU
rnacentral:tRNA from 1 species